AAACAUAAUAAAAUAAAAAUCAAACUCAGUGUUCAUUUUGCUUCAGUGUUCGGAGUUUGUCAUUCAUUUAAAAACCCACUGCAGACUAUUAGUGAACAUUAUUCGAACUAUCUACGCCGAACACUGUUCACGGAUGAAUAAUACUGUAGUGUCUAACCAACUUACGAUAAAAUUUCGAGAAUGGAAUUAACUAUUGGUAUACUACCUAGGUAGGUAUUCUUAUCAUUAUUUAUGUCAAAAACCUAUGUAAUUUCUAAUAGAUAUUUUUGUGUUCCAAAAAAUGACUCUCAGAGAAAGGAGUUUAUUAUAAUUUGUCCAAAUACCAUAGCGAUUUCGUCACAAACAAUAUUAAGCUCGUAGACAUGUGGACCUGUGAUUUUUAUAGAUUUUUUACACAAAGACACUUAGACAUGCGAAUGCCUACGUUAUCUGUCUGUGACGCGUAGUACCACAAAAUGUAUAAAAAAAAUACCACUGUGUAUGUGUAAGUGUGACGCGUAGACUGUACAGUGAUAUACAGUAGCGUAACCGGGAAGACAGGUUUCGUUUGGAGAAUUUUUUUUUUUUAGUAUUUUUUUGCAGACCUUGGAAAGUUCAUUUAAAAUAUGAACUAGGUUGAUAAUCUCGUUCAUUUUUCUGAAUGAACUUUCAACUGUUUUCAUUAAAUUAUAAAUGUAUUGAAAUAUAUUGUACAAAUAUAUAUAUUGUAAAUAUAUUGUAUUAAACAUAGUUACAUAAAAACUGCAAUUAUACAUUUUAGAUUCUGAGCGAAUCGAGGAAUGUAUUGAUUUUACAAAGAUUAAUAUUUUUUUUAUAUAUAUAUUUUGAUCCAUGACCAAUUUUUCUAGCAGAUAAUUCGCUCCAAUUUUCAAGUGUACCACUUUUUAUGAAAGUAAAUCUGACUAGAGUGAUACCUUAGGGGUUUUUUUUUUUAUUUUCCCAGGAGUUUUCAUAAUAAAUGUGAAAAUUUAUGAAAUAUAUUAUUUUUAAAUCGUAAAUAUUGCGGCCUUAUAAAACAUAUUUAACCGAACUCCGCUCAGGAUCGUUUUUCGUUAGUAAUGGUUGCGUUCAGAUAUACAUUAAAUUUUCCAUCUAUCUUUCUAACAUCUCACCAAAAACAGUGGCAGCCCCCCAUCGUGCGAAGUACUUCCGUUUGUUUUACUUUUUUAUUAUUUCUCAACUUUUUACAUCAUAUAUCAGUUGUUUUCAACCGGGGUGACAUGCCACCUAAGGGUGAUAUAGAUCCAUGCGGAGGUGACAUGCAUUAUGCAUAUUUUGAUGUGCUGGGCGGUACAAUUUCGGAUUAUCGUGGGCAAGGGUGACAUGAAUCUAAAAAGGUUAAGAACCACUGUCAUAUAUAAACUAAUAAACUCUUCUAAUUGUAUUAAAAUAAAACAUUUUAAUAAUAGCUUAAUGAACAUUUAAUACAAUAAAUAAAAUAUAAAUUUACAACAUAUUUAUAUUUUAUUUAUUACAUUAAUCAAAGAUUGAGUUGUACCAUAAAAGUUAAGUAACGCAAGUCCAUUUGUUUAAUAUAUUACCUAUUUAUCGCGUUUUUAGAUACCUAUAGGCUAUAAUCACAGAAAUAUAAACAUACUAGAUAACGGACGACCAUCUGAAAAGUGUGUCUUGUUUUGCCAUAUGCUAACAUUGCAAUGUUUACAAAUAUUAACUGAUAACAGGUAAUGAUGAAUUGUCAUUUUGAUAAAUACUGAUUACUGUUCAGUAGACAAUAAUACCCUAUUCAGAGUACAGACACUUAAUGUCUAAAUACAGAAUUCUGAAUAGUAAAAAACAUUCAACAUUGUAUGGUGUAAAGUUUUGGUCUAUAACAUAUUUCCAAUGGCUAGUCGAGGUACAACACUUUCGCAACAUGGGUACUGGAUACAUUCAAAAUGUAUCAACGUAAAAGAACCAUAUUGAAAGUCAACAAACUUGAUAAAUUGUCUAACAUAUUUAUAUUGUAUAUAUACAUAAUGUUGUAUUAUAAUAUUGUAAUAUGUAUUGGUAUUUUCUAAUUUGUAUUAAUAUUGAGUGUUUACUAUUUAUAUAUAUAUUUUAGUUGAAUUGAAAUGUUUAAUUAGAAAGUAAAUAAAUAAAAACACUUCACUGAGAAAACAAUAUCUGCUCAACUACACAUCAAACCUAAAACAUCGCCUUAAUUAAUUUAAAAAAUAUAUAAAUACUUUUAUUCAGUAACAGUAAUCAGUGUAAACAAAGUAUAAAAUCAAGUAGUUUUAAUUUAUGAUUCAUUAUCAAUUUUGCAUGAUGUAAAUAUUGCCGUCAACAUCUUGACAAAUAACCGCAGCAGACACAUUUUUAAUAAUAUUAAGUAAAUAGUCGUCGGCUAUCUAGUAUGUUUAUAUAUCUGUGGCUAUAAUAUAGUACGGCUAUACAUAAUUUAUAAUAACUUAUCAAUACUUCAUUAUAAUACCGUGAUUAAUUAUUUGUUUGUGUAACUGGUUGCUAUCAUAAAAAAAAAUGACAAGUAACGAAUAAGAAUAGCUUAGAAUUCAGAAAUAAAAUAUCAUCAUAAUCUAAUUACUGAUUAUUAAAUAUUUAAUUGGAAUAUGAAUACAUUUAUCAAGUAUCGAUAAUUUAAACUUCUAAAUAAAGUUCAAUUUAAUCAAAAAUAUGAACUUAAUUCAAAGUUAGUUUAGUUCAGUUUAGUUUGAAAUUAAUUCAUUUUCGUCCGUAGCUUUUGAACUUUAAACUUUUGGUUCGUUCAUUCUAAGGUCUGCUUUCUUAUUAUUCUUGUUAUUUAUUAAUUUCAAUACUGGAUUUACCCAAAUACAAGUUUUAAUAUAAACAAAACAUACAUAACACAUACAAAAACAUUUAGUCCAAUGAUGUUGAUGGAUCCUUAUUUGCUAUACUCAUCAUUAUAUUUAAUGAUCGGUUUUCAAAUAAUUGGUUGUGCAUAUAGUUAAAGAAAACAAACACAAAUGAUAGGCAUGGAAGGCUGAAACUUUUGGAAGUUGAUUUGUUUUAAUAGAUCAGGAGAAUCAAUAACACCAACAAUAAGACGUCGCAGAUAAGAUAAAUUAACCUCAAGUCUUCUAUCAGUUAAAGUAUUCAAGCCAAGCCGGUGAAAAACUACAGAAUAAUCAUGUGGUGGAUGUUUGAUAUUUAAUUUAUAUACUACAAAGUUAAGAAAUUUACCUUGGAUACGCUCAAUUUGAUUCUUACCACAAGAAGUAUCAGGAUCUCACACAAUGGUUCCAUAUUCCAAAAUCUACCUGACGAAGGCAC